GAUGAACGCUAGCUACAGGCUUAACACAUGCAAGUCGCGGGGCAGCAUGGGGGUUGCUUGCAAUCCCCGAUGGCGACCGGCGCACGGGUGAGUAACGCGUAUCCAACCUGCCCUCCACCACGGGAUAACCCGGCGAAAGUCGGACUAAUACCGUAUGUUGUCCAUUGACGGCAUCCGAUUUGGACGAAAGGUUUGGCGGUGAAGGAUGGGGAUGCGUCCGAUUAGCUGGACGGCGGGGUGACGGCCCACCGUGGCGACGAUCGGUAGGGGUUCUGAGAGGAAGGUCCCCCACACUGGAACUGAGACACGGUCCAGACUCCUACGGGAGGCAGCAGUGAGGAAUAUUGGUCAAUGGGCGUAAGCCUGAACCAGCCAAGUAGCGUGCAGGAUGACGGCCCUAUGGGUUGUAAACUGCUUUUAUGCGGGGAUAAAGUGGCCCACGUGUGGGUUUUUGCAGGUACCGCAUGAAUAAGGACCGGCUAAUUCCGUG
rnacentral:rRNA from 1 species